rnacentral:rRNA from 1 species
GAUGAACGCUAGCGGCAGGCCUAACACAUGCAAGUCGAGGGGUAACAUAGGAAAGCUUGCUUUUCUGAUGACGACCGGCGCACGGGUGCGUAACGCGUAUACAACCUACCUUUUAGCGGGAAUAGCCCAGGGAAACUUGGAUUAAUGCCCCAUAGUAUAUAGACUUCUCCUGAAGUUUAUAUUAAACAUUUAUGGCUAUUAGAUGGGUAUGCGUCCUAUUAGUUAGUUGGUAAGGUAACGGCUUACCAAGGCAGCGAUAGGUAGGGGUCCUGAGAGGGAGAUCCCCACACUGGUACUGAGACACGGACCAGACUCCUACGGGAGGCAGCAGUGAGGAAUAUUGGACAAUGGGCGAGAGCCUGAUCCAGCCAUGCCGCGUGCAGGAAGACUGCCCUAUGGGUUGUAAACUGCUUUUACAGAGGAAGAACCACCCCCACGUGUGGGGGUUUGACGGUACUCUGCGAAUAAGGAUCGGCUAACUCCGUG